UGCAGUCAAUCAUGAUCAGAUCCAAAUGAACACAACAGACACAGAACAUAAAGAGGAGAGGCACAGGAGUGUGUUAGAUGGGGAACAAUUCAAUGAACACCAUGUUAAGCCGUUGGACACAGCUGUUCAGAGACCUAUGGAACUUGUAACAGAACCCUCAAUCCAUCCAAUAGAGUCUGAAUGCCAUAUUGAAGCACCGCCAACAGAUCCAAUAAUCCUAAUUGAUCCUCACCCUGCAACCCCAAUAGAGGCAGAACAGAAGAUUGUCAAGAAAAGUAAAAUUGAGGGUAAUGCAGAGCUGAAUGAUAAGAAGAAAAAUGAGGAGAAACAAGGAGAAGAAUCAAAUGAAACGAAACCUUCUUCAGACAUUGCUGUUUCUACGAUAGAGAUAGAAAAGAAACAAGAAGCAGAACCAAUUCAAGUUUCUGCUGAAGGUGCAACGACUCCAACAGGUAAGAAAAAGAAAAGACGAAAAAGCAAAAGAAAAAAAAGGGACGAGGCAGCUGUGGCGGUGGAGAAUCAAACAAAUCUAUUGCAUUUGGAGAAUGCAGUCAAUCAUGAUCAGGACCAAAUGAACACAACAGACACAGAACAUAAAGAGAAGAGGCACAGGAGUGUGUUAGAUGGGGAACAAUUCAAUGAACACAAUGUUAAGCCGUUGGACACAGCUGUUCAGAGACCUAUGGAACUUGUAACAGAACCCUCAAUCCAUCCAAUAGAGUCUGAAUGCCAUAUUGAAGCACCCCCAACAGAUCCAACAAUCCUAAUUGAUCCUCACCCUGCCACCCCAAUAGAUGCAGAACAGAAGAUUGUAAAGAAAAGUAGGAAGAGGAAAAGGAAGGGUGGCCUCAAAAGUGACGGGGAAGCAAAACCUAAUGAACACAAUGGAGAGCCACAUGAAACUCUAGUUCAGAAACUUAUGGGCCCUGUAACAGCACCCUCAACAAUCCAAAUGGACCCUAACCGUGAAACCGGUUUUCAGAGACCUAUGGAACCUGUAACAGAACCCUCAACUGAUCCAAUAAACCCUGAAUGCCAUAUAGAAGAACCUUCAACAGAUGCAAUAAUCCUAACGGAUCCUCACCCUGCAACCCCAAUAGUUGCAGAACAGAACAUUGUAAAGAAAAGUAGGAAGAGGAAAAGGAAGGGCGGCCCCAAAAGUGACGGGGAAGCAAAACCUAAUGAACACAGUGUCGAGCUGCAAGAAACUCUAGUUCAGAAACCUAUAGGCUCUGUAACAGCACUGUCAACAAUUCCAACGCACCAUCACCCUG
rnacentral:lncRNA from 1 species